UACGUAGGGUGCGAGCGUAAUCGGAAUUACUGGGCGUAAAGCGUGCGCAGGCGGUGGUGCAAGACAGAUGUGAAAUCCCCGGGCUCAACCUGGGAACUGCAUUUGUGACUGCACGGCUGGAGUGCGGGCAGAGGGGGAUGGAAUUCCGCGUGUAGCAGUGAAAUGCGUAGAUAUGCGGAGGAACACCGAUGGCGAAGGCAAUCCCCUGGGCCUGCACUGACGCUCAUGCACGAAAGCGUGGGGAGCAA
rnacentral:rRNA from 1 species